AAAGCUCUGUGUUAAGGAAGAACAAGUACCGUUCGAAUAGGGCGGUACCUUGACGGUACCUAACCAGAAAGCCACGGCUAACUACGUGCCAGCAGCCGCGGUAAUACGUAGGUGGCAAGCGUUGUCCGGAAUUAUUGGGCGUAAAGGGCUCGCAGGCGGUUUCUUAAGUCUGAUGUGAAAGCCCCCGGCUCAACCGGGGAGGGUCAUUGGAAACUGGGGAACUUGAGUGCAGAAGAGGAGAGUGGAAUUCCACGUGUAGCGGUGAAAUGCGUAGAGAUGUGGAGGAACACCAGUGGCGAAGGCGACUCUCUGGUCUGUAACUGACGCUGAGGAGCGAAAGCGUGGGGAGCGAACAGGAUUAGAUACCCUGGUAGUCCACGCCGUAAACGAUGAGUGCUAAGUGUUAGGGGGUUUCCGCCCCUUAGUGCUGCAGCUAACGCAUUAAGCACUCCGCCUGGGGAGUACGGUCGCAAGACUGAAACUCAAAGGAAUUGACGGGGGCCCGCACAAGCGGUGGAGCAUGUGGUUUAAUUCGAAGCAACGCGAAGAACCUUACCAGGUCUUGACAUCCUCUGACAAUCCUAGAGAUAGGACGUCCCCUUCGGGGGCAGAGUGACAGGUGGUGCAUGGUUGUCGUCAGCUCGUGUCGUGAGAUGUUGGGUUAAGUCCCGCAACGAGCGCAACCCUUGAUCUUAGUUGCCAGCAUUCAGUUGGGCACUCUAAGGUGACUGCCGGUGACAAACCGGAGGAAGGUGGGGAUGACGUCAAAUCAUCAUGCCCCUUAUGACCUGGGCUACACACGUGCUACAAUGGACAGAACAAAGGGCAGCGAAACCGCGAGGUUAAGCCAAUCCCACAAAUCUGUUCUCAGUUCGGAUCGCAGUCUGCAACUCGACUGCGUGAAGCUGGAAUCGCUAGUAAUCGCGGAUCAGCAUGCCGCGGUGAAUACGUU
rnacentral:rRNA from 2 species